CACUCCUGCGGGAGGCAGCAGUGGGGAAUUUUGGACAAUGGGCGAAAGCCUGAUCCAGCCAUGCCGCGUGCAGGAUGAAGGCCUUCGGGUUGUAAACUGCUUUUGUACGGAACGAAACGGCCUUUUCUAAUAAAGAGGGCUAAUGACGGUACCGUAAGAAUAAGCACCGGCUAACUACGUGCCAGCAGCCGCGGUAAUACGUAGGGUGCAAGCGUUAAUCGGAAUUACUGGGCGUAAAGCGUGCGCAGGCGGUUAUGUAAGACAGUUGUGAAAUCCCCGGGCUCAACCUGGGAACUGCAUCUGUGACUGCAUAGCUAGAGUACGGUAGAGGGGGAUGGAAUUCCGCGUGUAGCAGUGAAAUGCGUAGAUAUGCGGAGGAACACCGAUGGCGAAGGCAAUCCCCUGGACCUGUACUGACGCUCAUGCACGAAAGCGUGGGGAGCAAACAGGAUUAGAAACCCGAGUAGUCCCAUGA
rnacentral:rRNA from 1 species